rnacentral:rRNA from 1 species
UACGAAGGGGGCUAGCGUUGUUCGGAAUUACUGGGCGUAAAGCGCGCGCAGGCGGUUCUUCAAGUCAGAGGUGAAAGCCCAGAGCUCAACUCUGGAAUGGCCUUUGAGACUAGAGAACUAGGGUACGGGAGAGGUGAGUGGAAUUCCCGGUGUAGCGGUGAAAUGCGCAGAUAUCGGGAGGAACACCUAUGGCGAAGGCAGCUCGCUGGGACGUUACUGACGCUGAGACGCGAAAGCGUGGGGAGCAAACAGG